UCAGUUUACUGGCUUGUGCCAAAACAAGUUGGAUGAAUGUUGACAUUGAUAAAAUCGUGUACGAGACAUGUGGAAAGCAACUCAGUUUUACUUUGUUGGCGUCUUGGACACAGUCCGAAGUGUCAAAAUAGCAGGAUUCAACAAUGGAACCCUUGACUUGUCAUCUAGUAGAUGGAUCUACAAGGCGGAAGCUCUUGAUUUGGAGAAAAUUGUGCUUCAAACAGUAGCAAAAGUUGCAUAGGACUGGAGAAUAGAUGAUAUAAGCGGGCUCUUGGGUUGUUGUAAUUUUAAAGCCAACAUGCUUAAUACAAAAGAACUUUUGAGUGGUGAUGAGAAGGUAUGUGAAAUGUCUUCUACCAUGCUAUUUUUUAUUUUGCCUGUUUGGCUAUAUCAGGCUGUGGCUGCAUGGAAAGUUGUAUUGCUAUAAAAAUUUGUAGCAUGGAAAAUGGACAUUCAUGUGCAUUUGUAGUCUGAAAACAUUAAAUAGACCGUUACCAAUUUUAUUGGUAUUGUGCUGAUUAUUUUGUCUU